UGCUAGGGGUGCCUUUUAUAGGCUGAGAAAUGAUUAAAUCAUUAACCCUUGAACCUGAUCUGGAUAGUACCAGCGUAGGGAAGCGUUAUUU
rnacentral:ncRNA from 1 species